AUCCAGACGACGAGUCCCAAAUAGGACGAAAAGCGCGUCCUGGAU
rnacentral:hammerhead_ribozyme from 1 species